rnacentral:rRNA from 1 species
GAUGAACGCUGGCGGCGUGCCUAAUACAUGCAAGUCGAGCGAACAGAUGAGGAGCUUGCUCCUCUGACGUUAGCGGCGGACGGGUGAGUAACACGUGGAUAACCUACCUAUAAGACUGGGAUAACUUCGGGAAACCGGAGCUAAUAUCGGAUAAUAUAUUGAACCGCAUGGUUCAAUAGUGAAAGACGGUUUUGCUGUCACUUAUAGAUGGAUCCGCGCCGCAUUAGCUAGUUGGUAAGGUAACGGCUUACCAAGGCAACGAUGCGUAGCCGACCUGAGAGGGUGAUCGGCCACACUGGAACUGAGACACGGUCCAGACUCCUACGGGAGGCAGCAGUAGGGAAUCUUCCGCAAAGGGCGAAAGCCUGACGGAGCAACGCCGCGUGAGUGAUGAAGGUCUUCGGAUCGUAAAACUCUGUUAUUAGGGAAGAACAAAUGUGUAAGUAACUAUGCACGUCUUGACGGUACCUAAUCAGAAAGCCACGGCUAACUACGUG